UAGGGAAUAUUGGACAAUGGGUGCGAGCCUGAUCCAGCCAUGCCGCGUGCAGGAAGAAGGCUUUCUGAGUUGUAAACUGCUUUUGCCAGAGGAUAAAAAGCCCAUGCGUGGGAAAUUGAAGGUACCUGGUGAAUAAGCCACGGCUAACUACGUGCCAGCAGCCGCGGUAAUACGUAGGUGGCAAGCGUUGUCCGGAUUUAUUGGGUUUAAAGGGUGCGUAGGCGGUUUUAUAAGUCAGUGGUGAAAUCCGGCAGCUCAACUGUCGAUGUGCCAUUGAUACUGUAGAACUUGAGUACUGAUGAGGUAGGCGGAAUUGACGGUGUAGCGGUGAAAUGCUUAGAUAUCGUCAAGAACACCGAUAGCGAAGGCAGCUUACUAAGCAGUAACUGACGCUGAGGCACGAAAGUGUGGGGAUCAAACA
rnacentral:rRNA from 1 species